rnacentral:lncRNA from 1 species
GGGGUCCUGGUGUCUCACAGUACCCAGAAGGUGUCUGCUGGCCACAGGAGGGGAAGAUCCAGUCCCAGUUCACCCUAGAGCCACGGCCAUCUCUGUCAAAGACAACAGGAGACUUUGACCUCCCUGCAAGUCCCAGUAGAGGGUGUACCUGCUUGUCUGUGUGCCCAGAGCUACUGGGGAAGAGGGUAUUGGGCCCAGCUUCCACUCAGCUUAGAACUCCUCACCAGGUACUCUGUGAAAAUGACUCCCAACCAAGGGUCUUCUCAUUUGAACUUGGAAAUGGGAGUGGAGUCUUGGAAUAGAUUUGAGCCUGUGCACAAUGAAUUACAACUUGGGUUGUGUUUUGUAAUCACAUUAGCUUUUACUUUGAAAUCAUGUGCAAGGAACAGACCUGGCCUCUUCCUGCUGAGUUUAGAGAGCACUACCCACUGCCGCUCUCCUCCUUCCUGGUCCUGUUUGCCUUCCCCUCCCCAUGUCCUUUAUCUGCAUUAUCAAAAUAGAAAAA